AAACAGUGAUAAAAUCCAUGAGAGUACUCUGCUGAUUACCAGAGAUCCUGGUUUUCUUAACCCUAAAUCCACACUCAUAUACAUAUAUAGUAGAUUUGGGAUGAAGCA